rnacentral:lncRNA from 12 species
UUUCAAGGAAGCAAGCUCGUUGUGUGAUAUAGAAGGUGGAGACUGGGAAGCUGGCUCUGCUAAGCCUUGCCUAAUGCAAACUGCUUUAGUAUGCACAUCACAUCAUGCCGGCUAUACUGCAGGGAGCAGGCAGUUAUCGCACAAGCGUGCAUCCUCAGAGCCAGGAUAAACACUCCUUUACUCUCCCUCUAAACUGCUCUUCUGGGAGGGAGAGAAAAUAAAUAGGGAGUGAGAAAGGCAUUUGAAGUAACCUUUUUAAGAAGGAGGCUGCAGCCAAUAGAACCUUUCUUUCUUUCUUUCUUUCUUUUUUUUCUUUUUUUUUCUUUUUUUUUUUUUUUCCCCCACUUCUUACUAGAGAAAUUUGUGGUGUUACCUCAGCAAUUAAGGAGAAGAGCCAGCAUCUAGGGUUCCAGACUGUGAGGGGGAGUAGCAACUUGUACCAGUGUCAACCAGAUUGGUACAAAUCUCUUGGAGAAGACAGACAUCAUUCAAGAGAAGGA